rnacentral:rRNA from 1 species
GAGGGAAACGUUACUGAUAAUACUGGAUAAGUUAGUAUAUCGCAUGAUAUGCAAAUGAAAGCUACGGCACUAAAGGAGAGCUUUGCGUCCUAUUAGCUAGUCGGUAAGGUAAGAGCUUACCAAGGCGAUGAUAGGUAGCCGGCCUGAGAGGGUGGACGGCCACAAGGGGACUGAGAUACGGCCCUUACUCCUACGGGAGGCAGCAGGC